GAAUUUUAUAUAAGUUUGAUAAAGAAGUUUAUUAUUGAGGUUAUUAAAUUUAUAUUUUAUUGGGAGGAUAGUUAAAUUAGUUAAACUUUAAAAAUAAAAAUCCAUUAAUUUAUGAGGUAUAAUUUAUAUAGUGUGAUAAAAAAUUUAAGUAGAAUUAAUUACCUUAGGGAUAACAGCGUUAUAUUUUUAGAGAGAUCUUAUUGAUAAAAAUGAUUGC
rnacentral:rRNA from 2 species